AGGGUUAGGGCCGGCGGUUUUGCAGCUCACCUGGGGAGGCCAGCAGUACCUUCGCCCCGCAGCAUUGAAAGCAGUGCAGCAGAGACUUGGCACGAAUGUUGUAGUUGAGGCACGACAUGGGACAGCCCAGUUUGAGCAGUCCCAGCCAGAUCCACACGUAGGCAGGCUCAUUGCCCAUGAAGAGGGCUACGCAAUCCCCCUGUCGUAGGCCCAGUUGAUCGUGCAGCGCCCGCGCCACUUGGUUGCUGCGCCGGUCCACCUGGGCGUAGGUGAGCGUCUCGUCUCGGAACAGCAGGAAGGGCUUGUGUGGGGUCUUGCGCGCUUGUUCCAGGAAGACCCCCAGGAUGGUACGCACGGGUCGCCGCUGCCGGUAGCUGCGCACCCGCCGGGCCAUGUUGGCCAGCCGCAGGAAGUACCGCACGUCCUGGAGGAGGUAGGGGCAGCAGCAGAUAAGGGUAGCUACCACGAUUAUCAAAUAAGCUUCUCUUUACAGCGAGUGGAAACCACAACUGGACAUAAGGCAGAGAUCAGCGGUUGGUGGGGGCCACACGGAUACAUCUGCAGCAUGGCACCUGCAUCUUUGACUCAGGGGACAUAGCAGAGGAGAUCUGAAAGAUUGAAAGAGCUGGAACAUCAGGGAGUCUGCUGAAAGACUCUUUUCAGAAUGCUGAAAAUAAAACUCCUAUGUGACUCAGCUGUUCUGCCCCCAUGAACAUACCCAAGGAACUCCACAUCCUACAGAGAUACUAUUUAUUUACGGUUACUGCUGCACUAUUCACAAACCACAAGGAAAUGGAAGCAGCGUAGAUGCCCAUACACAGUGAAAACGUAGUCCAUAUCCACAAUGGGAUUUUAUUCAGCUAUAAAGAUAAGUGCCUUCCACUCCUCAUCACAGAAGCUUCUCUUUACACCAAUGCAGACCAUUACAGAACAGCACAGCUGGACACAAGAGGGAGACAAUGGCUCCUGGGAACCCGAGUGCCGUGGACAGAGCAGCAUCACAGCUCCUGCAUCUCUGGCUCAGGGAACACAGAGGAAGAGGUGGUGGGAAGACUACCAGGAAGUCUGCCAUGAGAGUGUCUCCCAUAGAAAUGGCUGCACAAACAGGACCAGAACAACGGGCAGUAUCAGGUGAAAUGGUAACAUGGAAGCCGGUAAUCUCAUGUGGUUCAUUCCCUAGGCAAAGACCCACAGACAAUGAUUGCUAAGAGAGGGAGAACUAGCUUCUCCCUGAGCCCAUCCCCCUAAGAUGGCCACCCCGAAGUCACACCCUCACAAUCAACACACACAGACGCAGCAGGUUGUACUUUCAUAUCUGCAUGUCUCAACAGUAGUCAAAGAAAAAGAGUCUAUCCAUUUGAGAGCAAUGGAGGGGACAGUGAAAGGGUUGGAAGCAGGGGGCUUGGGAGGGGUUGGAGAGAGGUUAGGAAAAGCAGGGAGUAAUGCAAUUACCCUUCGAUUAAAAUGGAUUAAUUCUACCCUCUGCCUGUCAGCGCACACUGUGUACCUUUUCCUGAAACUCACCAAACCCAUUCGUUUCUGCAUAAACUUCUUAUAUUUCCUCUUUGCAAGAACAAUCACUUAAGCACAUUUUAUUAUUUUUUUCUCAUUUUUAUUUUGUUGUGCAAAAAAAUAUUUUCAUUCUGAAUUCCUUUUAUUUGUGUUUCUAACAACCAGUUUGGGCUGGAUAGGAAUAAUGUUUGUUGGUUUUUUGAUGAGAGAAUAAAGUUAAAAAUUUCAAAGG
ensembl:lincRNA